rnacentral:sRNA from 1 species
GUUGUAUUUUGAGUCUGGAAGUGAAUCAAAAGUGAAUCAAAACGUGAACAUUUAAACUAGAUUUAGCGUGCCUGUGGAUAAAU